rfam:Corchorus capsularis cultivar CVL-1 contig13383, whole genome shotgun sequence.
ACUGAGUGGUGCAGCCAAGGAUGACUUGCCGGCCGGCUCAUUAUAUAAUAUAUAUAUAUAUAUAUAUAUAUAUAUAGUUUGAUAUUUUAUUCCGGCAAGUUGUCCUUGGCUACAGUGGGCUGUCU